UUCCUUUUCGCUGCCCAGUUUUCCUGUCCUUGAUGUCCCGGGCCUGGCGUGUCUUGGACGGAAACUCGGCAUCUUCUGUUUACUGCUGGCAUCCACGAAACAGUAACAGGCCCCAGACUCUUCACAGAUCCUGAAACCACUCACCUGCCUAAGACUGACAACGUUGGCACAAUUUCGACCUCCCUGUGCCUUUCUUCCCGGGGAAGGAAGCUGAGAGGGGAUGAAUCAAGUAACAUAAUAAACUUCUGAGAAGGCAGAGCAAUAUGUUUGGGUCUCCAUCUUUCUUUCAAAAAAGAAGCUUCAUAUCAAGACUUGGAAAGAAGUGCAAAUCUCUUAGUGAAGAAACUGCCAAGAAAAUUACUGCUCACCUAGCUCAAAGAGAAACAUUAAUUAAAGGUAAGACAUGGGCAAGAAGUAAAAUGGAGCUUGUAUGAGUUAAUUCUAUCAUAAUUAACAUUUAUAAUUCCUCUCAAUUUCAGAGGAUGACUGUGUUUUUGCAGAAACCCUUGAAUUAUUUAAUGUAUUUCUAAAGAAAACUUUCGAAAUCCCUGGAGAUGAAUUUUUACCUUUCUAUAAAGACUCUUUCCACCCCCAUUCAGAGUCUCCGUACAAGUUUAUAUGAUAGAACUUUGGUCUAAGAAAAUGGGAAUGGAUUUAGGUAAACCUGAGAUUAUUCUACUUAUUUAUAAUGAC
rnacentral:lncRNA from 1 species